rnacentral:rRNA from 1 species
UACAGAGGGUGCGAACGUUGCUCGGAAUUACUGGGCGUAAAGCGCGUGUAGGCGGAUCGGCAAGUCAGGCGUGAAAUCCCCAGGCUCAACCUGGGAACUGCGCUUGAAACUGCCGGUCUUGAGUGUCGGAGAGGGUGGCGGAAUUCCUGGUGUAGAGGUGAAAUUCGUAGAUAUCUGGAGGAACACCGGUGGCGAAGGCGGCAUCCUGGACCGGCAUUGACGCUGAGGCGCGAAAGCCAGGGGAGCAAACGGG